GAUGAAGAACGUAGUGAAAUGCGAUAAGUAAUGUGAAUUGCAGAAUUCAGUGAAUCAUCGAAUCUUUGAACGCACCUUGCGCUCCUUGGUAUUCCUUGGAGCAUGCCUGUUUGAGUAUCAUGAAAUCUUCAAAGUAAAUCUUUUGUUAAUUCAAUUGGUUUCUGCUUUGGUAUUGGAGGUUUUGCAGCUUCACACCUGCUCCUCUUUGUGCAUUAGCUGGAUCUCAGUGUUAUGCUUGGUUCCACUCAGCGUGAUAAGUAUCUAUCGCUGAGGACACUGUAACAGGUGGCCAAGGUAAAUGCAGAUGAACCGCUUCUAAUAGUCCAUUGACUUGGACAAUAUUUUUAUGAUCUGAUCUCAAAUCAGGUAGGACUACCCGCUGAACUUAAGCAUAUCAAUAAGCGGAGGA
rnacentral:misc_RNA from 1 species